AAACUUGACAUUUUAGUCGUCACUAGCAGCUCAUAAUCAUAAAAGAGUUGACCCUCACGGGUGAGUGUGAUGUGCCGCUGGUGGCGGUGAAAAUGUCAAGU